GGUUGUAGCUCAGUGGUAUAGCGCCUACCUUGUACAUGCGAGGCCCUGGGUUCAAUCCACAGAACUA
rnacentral:tRNA from 1 species